AGAACACAGAACUCUUGCUCUUGACUUUUCACACUGACUACUGGACCCUUGAAACUUCUAGUGUGCUAAGGGAUAUUGACAGCUCUCGUGGUCCAGCCCUCAUUUCCAGACAUACUCACAUAUCUAUUGUCUAGCAUUUGGUUUACAGCAUGUUCUAGGGAAAAGAAUGCCAAGUUGGGAGCUAGGAGCACUCACUUCAUACCUAACGAGCUGUAUGGUUCCGGGCAAGUUUGAAAGCUUCAUGCACCUGAUUUUCUCCAUGUAAGCUAUGUCUUGGGCUGGUAGAGAGAAGAUAAACUGUCAAAACAGAUGGAAGAGUUCUUUAAAAGCAAAAGUACUUUUCAUUUCCAUAA